AAUCUACUCCCUCCGUUCCAAAUUACUCAUCGUAGAAAUGGAUGUAUCUAGAACUAAAAUACAUCUAGAUACAUCCAUUUCUGCGAUGAGUAAUUUGGAACGGAUGGAGUAGUUG
rnacentral:pre_miRNA from 1 species